rnacentral:rRNA from 1 species
UACGUAGGGCGCAAGCGUUGUCCGGAAUUAUUGGGCGUAAAGAGCUCGUAGGCGGCUUGUCACGUCGGGGUGUGAAAGCCCGGGGCUUAACCCCGGGUCUGCAUUCGAUACGGGCAGGCUAGAGUGUGGUAGGGGGAGAUCGGAAUUCCUGGUGUAGCGGUGAAAUGCGCAGAUAUCAGGAGGAACACCGGUGGCGAAGGCGGAUCUCUGGGCCAUUACUGACGCUGAGGAGCGAAAAGCGUGGGGAGCGAACAGG